GACGAACGCUGGCGGCGUGCUUAACACAUGCAAGUCGAACGGAAAGGCCCUGCUUUUGUGGGGUGCUCGAGUGGCGAACGGGUGAGUAACACGUGAGUAACCUGCCCUUGACUUUGGGAUAACUUCAGGAAACUGGGGCUAAUACCGGAUAGGAGCUCCUGCUGCAUGGUGGGGGUUGGAAAGUUUCGGCGGUUGGGGAUGGACUCGCGGCUUAUCAGCUUGUUGGUGGGGUAGUGGCUUACCAAGGCUUUGACGGGUAGCCGGCCUGAGAGGGUGACCGGCCACAUGGGGACUGAGAUACGGCCCAGACUCCUACGGGAGGCAGCAGUGGGGAAUAUUGCACAAUGGGCGGAAGCCUGAGGCAGAAACGCCGCGUGCGGGAUGACGGCCUUCGGGUUGUAAACCGCUUUCGCCUGUGACGAAGCGUGAGUGACGGUAAUGGGUAAAGAAGCACCGGCUAACUACGUG
rnacentral:rRNA from 1 species